AUGAACGCUAGCUACAGGCUUAACACAUGCAAGUCGAGGGGCAGCAUGGUCUUAGCUUGCUAAGGCCGAUGGCGACCGGCGCACGGGUGAGUAACACGUAUCCAACCUGCCGUCUACUCUUGGACAGCCUUCUGAAAGGAAGAUUAAUACAAGAUGGCAUCAUGAGUCCGCAUGUUCACAUGAUUAAAGGUAUUCCGGUAGACGAUGGGGAUGCGUUCCAUUAGAUAGUAGGCGGGGUAACGGCCCACCUAGUCUUCGAUGGAUAGGGGUUCUGAGAGGAAGGUCCCCCACAUUGGAACUGAGACACGGUCCAAACUCCUACGGGAGGCAGCAGUGAGGAAUAUUGGUCAAUGGGCGAGAGCCUGAACCAGCCAAGUAGCGUGAAGGAUGACUGCCCUAUGGGUUGUAAACUUCUUUUAUAAAGGAAUAAAGUCGGGUAUGGAUACCCGUUUGCAUGUACUUUAUGAAUAAGGAUCGGCUAACUCCGUGCCAGCAGCCGCGGUAAUACGGAGGAUCCGAGCGUUAUCCGGAUUUAUUGGGUUUAAAGGGAGCGUAGAUGGAUGUUUAAGUCAGUUGUGAAAGUUUGCGGCUCAACCGUAAAAUUGCAGUUGAUACUGGAUAUCUUGAGUGCAGUUGAGGCAGGCGGAAUUCGUGGUGUAGCGGUGAAAUGCUUAGAUAUCACGAAGAACUCCGAUUGCGAAGGCAGCCUGCUAAGCUGCAACUGACAUUGAGGCUCGAAAGUGUGGGUAUCAAACAGGAUUAGAUACCCUGGUAGUCCACACGGUAAACGAUGAAUACUCGCUGUUUGCGAUAUACGGCAAGCGGCCAAGCGAAAGCGUUAAGUAUUCCACCUGGGGAGUACGCCGGCAACGGUGAAACUCAAAGGAAUUGACGGGGGCCCGCACAAGCGGAGGAACAUGUGGUUUAAUUCGAUGAUACGCGAGGAACCUUACCCGGGCUUAAAUUGCAGAUGAAUUACGGUGAAAGCCGUAAGCCGCAAGGCAUCUGUGAAGGUGCUGCAUGGUUGUCGUCAGCUCGUGCCGUGAGGUGUCGGCUUAAGUGUCAUAACGAGCGCAACCCUUGUUGUCAGUUACUAACAGGUUCCGCUGAGGACUCUGACAAGACUGCCAUCGUAAGAUGUGAGGAAGGUGGGGAUGACGUCAAAUCAGCACGGCCCUUACGUCCGGGGCUACACACGUGUUACAAUGGGGGGUACAGAGGGCCGCUACCACGCGAGUGGAUGCCAAUCCCCAAAACCUCUCUCAGUUCGGACUGGAGUCUGCAACCCGACUCCACGAAGCUGGAUUCGCUAGUAAUCGCGCAUCAGCCACGGCGCGGUGAAUACGUUCCCGGGCCUUGUACACACCGCCCGUCAAGCCAUGGGAGCCGGGGGUACCUGAAGUGCGUAACCGCGAGGAGCGCCCUAGGGUAAAACUGGUGACUGGGGCU
rnacentral:rRNA from 1 species